GAUGAACGCUGGCGGCGUGCCUAAUACAUGCAAGUCGAGCGAACAGACGAGGAGCUUGCUCCUCUGACGUUAGCGGCGGACGGGUGAGUAACACGUGGAUAACCUACCUAUAAGACUGGGAUAACUUCGGGAAACCGGAGCUAACACCGGAUAAUAUAUUGAACCGCAUGGUUCAAUAGUGAAAGACGGUUUUGCUGUCACUUAUAGAUGGAUCCGCGCCGCAUUAGCUAGUUGGUAAGGUAACGGCUUACCAAGGCAACGAUGCGUAGCCGACCUGAGAGAGUGAUCGGCCACACUGGAACUGGAACACGGUCCAGACUCCUACGGGAGGCAGCAGUAGGGAAUCUGCCGCAAUGGGCGAGAGCCUGACGGAGCAACGCCGCGUGAGUGACGAAGGUCUUGGGAUCGUAAAACUCUGUUAUUAGGGAAGAACAAAUGUGUAAGUAACUAUGCACUUCGUGACGGUACCUAAUCAGAAAGCCACGGCUAACUACGUG
rnacentral:rRNA from 1 species